UACGUAGGGUGCGAGCGUUAAUCGGAAUGACUGGGCGUAAAGGGUGCGUAGGCGGUUUGCUAAGUCGGAUGUGAAAUCCCUGGGCUCAACCUAGGAACAGCAUACGUGACUGGCAGGCUAGAGUAUCGAAGAGGGGGGUAGAAUUCCACGUGUAGCAGUGAAAUGCGUAGAGAUGUGGAGGAAUACCGAUGGCGAAGGCAGCCCCCUGGUCAGAUACUGACGCUGAGGCACGAAAGCGUGGGGAGCAAACAGG
rnacentral:rRNA from 1 species